rnacentral:rRNA from 1 species
AAUUCCAGUUGGGCACUCUAAUGAGACUGCCGGUGACAAACCGGAGGAAGGUGGGGAUGACGUCAAGUCCUCAUGGCCCUUAUGGGUAGGGCCUCACACGUCAUACAAUGGCGCAUACAGAGGGUUGCCAACCCGCGAGGGGGAGCCAAUCCCAGAAAGUGCGUCGUAGUCCGGAUUGGAGUCUGCAACUCGACUCCAUGAAGUCGGAAUCGCUAGUAAUCGCGGAUCAGCAUGUCGCGGUGAAUACGUUCCCGGGUCUUGUACACACCGCCCGUCACACCAUGGGAGUGGGUUUCACCAGAAGUA